rnacentral:rRNA from 1 species
CGGAUGAGAAGAGCUUGCUCUUCGAUUCAGCGGCGGACGGGUGAGUAAUGCCUAGGAAUCUGCCUGGUAGUGGGGGACAACGUUUCGAAAGGAACGCUAAUACCGCAUACGUCCUACGGGAGAAAGCAGGGGACCUUCGGGCCUUGCGCUAUCAGAUGAGCCUAGGUCGGAUUAGCUAGUUGGUGAGGUAAUGGCUCACCAAGGCGACGAUCCGUAACUGGUCUGAGAGGAUGAUCAGUCACACUGGAACUGAGACACGGUCCAGACUCCUACGGGAGGCAGCAGUGGGGAAUAUUGGACAAUGGGCGAAAGCCUGAUCCAGCCAUGCCGCGUGUGUGAAGAAGGUCUUCGGAUUGUAAAGCACUUUAAGUUGGGAGGAAGGGCAGUUUCCUAAUACGAAAUUGUUUUGACGUUACCGACAGAAUAAGCACCGGCUAACUCUGUGCCAGCAGCCGCGGUAAUACAGAGGGUGCAAGCGUUAAUCGGAAUUACUGGGCGUAAAGCGCGCGUAGGUGGUUUGUUAAGUUGAAUGUGAAAU